AAAUAAACUUUUGUCAAGUGAUUUAAAAAAGGAAUAUUGAUUUCAAGUACUUCCCCAUGACAUAUUACAUUAACCUGCGGGGAUUCCAAAAUGUCACUGUUGAAACAAAGCUAUUCUUGCUUUGGAAAUAAGUUGAUAUUAGUAUAUCAUUUAGAAGGCCCUUUGCAUUAACAAGUUUUUUGUGGUAAAUUACAGCUUCAACCUGGGCCACUGAAGUCGACCCCCAAAAAGCAUGCCAGUUGUUCAGAGAAGAUUUACUGAACCGUUACUCUGAAAGUCCAUGCCUCUCUUUAUCACUCGACAUGUUUGAUGCAGAAGAAGAACAGGACAGUGCAUUCAUUUCAUUCUAUAAGCAGAAUAAUGUGACCUGGGCAGCUCCAUUCAAGUGCAGGCUGAGAGGAGAUGCAGCAGUGGGUGAUGGUGUCAACAGACAUGCUUUGUCAAUGGCCAUGCAGAACUUGAAAACUGGCUUCAGAAUAAAUUUAGGCUCUGCUGCUCCUACAACCCUUUUUGAGGGGGAAAAAGAACAUCAGGCUCCCUCUGCAGCUGCUGUCCUGCGGGAGAUGGCAGGUCGUAUGACCGGCCAUUCUUUCCUGCAUGGUGGGUCCAGCUUCUCUGGACUCAGUUUGCCUGUGGUGACCCUAUUGACUGGUGAGAGCAUCGACACUGCAGCAUCAGCUCUGACGCUGGAGGACUGUCCUGAUAUUGACCAUCGUGAAACAAUUGGUUUGGUGAGUAACUUGGUUACACAUUGCACAUUUGUACGAAUUACUACAUUUUUGUUCAUGUCACACACGUGUCUGUGCCGAGACAUUUUGUAAUCUGUGAUUUCCAAAGCUUUUGGUGUCUGUUAUUUACUCCAAAUGUUAGUUAUUUUUAUUGUACCUUUCGCCUUUUUGUAUUGACUGGUGAGAGCAUCGACACUGCAGCAUCAGCUCUGACGCUGGAGGACUGUCCUGAUAUUGACCAUCGUGAAACAAUUGGUUUGGUGAGUAACUUGGUUACACAUUGCACAUUUGUACGAAUUACUACAUUUUUGUUCAUGUCACACACGUGUCUGUGCCGAGACAUUUUGUAAUCUGUGAUUUCCAAAGCUUUUGGUGUCUGUUAUUUACUCCAAAUGUUAAUUUUUAUUGUACCUUUUGCCUUUUUGUGGAUUGCCUGGUGACAACUUUUCAUGUUAUUAAAUUCUUUUACCUUUUGUGAAUGUGUACUUGCUAUAGCUGAACUUACUGCAGAAGAAAACACCAAAGUGACUGAUCUUUGCCUGUCCUGGGAUCUUCCAUUUCCAACCUCCACCAAUCGUGUCUGGCUGUUCCAGGAAUUGCUUUCACAUGCAGUAAUUAUUUUUAUAAAUUACCUUGUUAGUAUUUAUAUUGGAGGUUGGCAGUGUAACUCAUGUUACAUCUGUGCCUACGGUCUCUUUCCUAUAAAAUAGUGCCUCUGUUUAAAUGUUACCUUCUGUCCUUUCAAUUCUGUGGGCUAUUAACAAUCAAAUUAAAUCACUAUCAACAAAAUUCAUAGAUGGAUUGUGCAUAAAUGUUUAAAUAAACAUUUUAAAUAUAAGUUUAAAUAUAGCGUUUUAAUGUAGAAAUAUUAAAUGAUUGCAAAAAAAAAAAAGUAUGACUGAGUGAGUUGAAUCAAUCGAUUCGUUUAUAAAGCUGAUUCAUUUAACUUUGCAAACGACUACUUAUAACCUGAUUGAAUCAUUUGCUGGUCUGUAUAACGCUGAGGAACAAAACACUUGUUCAGAAACUCAGCAGUUCUGCUGUUUGUUCUAUUUUCUUUCUGACAUAGCAAAACGGAAUUCUGUAAGUUGUUGUUUACUGUACAAACCCGAUUCCAAAAAAGUUGGGACACUGUACAAAUUGUGAAUAAAAACAGAAUGCAAUGAUGUAUCAUUUUAAAGGAAAAAUAAGUUGAUUUUAAAUUUCAUGGCAUCAACACAUCUCAAAAAAAGUUGGGACAAGGCCAUGUUUACCACUGUGUGGCAUCCCCUCUUCUUUUUCUAACAGUCUGCAAACGUCUGGGACUGAGGAGACAAGUUGCUCAAGUUUAGGAAUAGGAAUGUUGUCCCAUUCUUGUCUAAUACAGGCUUCUAGUUGCUCAACUGUCUUAGGUCUUCUUUGUCACAUCUUCCUCUUUAUGCCAAGGAAUAUGUAUC
rnacentral:lncRNA from 1 species